CGACGACAUACCCUGGAAUCAG
rnacentral:miRNA from 1 species